GGUGGCUCAGUGGUAGAGUGCUUGCCUUGCAUGCAUGAGGCCUUGGGUUCGAUUCCUCAGCACCG
rnacentral:tRNA from 1 species